UUAUUAUUUAUUAUUUAAUUUAAUUUUCAUCAAUUAUUUAUAUUAAUAGAAACAACUUAUUUUUUAGUAUUUUUCAGUGAAUUAAUGUUUUUAUAUUUAUAGUUUAUUUAACUGUAAAGGUUUAUUUAUUUAUAAUUUAUAAGUAUAAUUUAUUAUUUGUACCUUUUGUAUCAGGGUUUAAUCAAUUUAAUUCUAUAUAUUUAUUAGAUUUCCCGAAUUUAUAGGAGUUAUCAGUAAUUGUUAUUUAAUGUUUUAUAAUUAUUAAUAAAUUAUUGAUAGUUGUUAUAUGCUAUUCAUCUUUAAAUAUCUGGUUCCUUAAUAAUUGAAUUUAAUUCAGGAUUAGUAUUUAUUUAUUAAUAAAUUUUAUUAUUAUUAAGUAGUCUAAUCUAAUAUCAGGAGGGAUAAGCUUCCUGGUAUUUCUAUAAUAUUAUUCUUAUUUAAAGUUUGUAGGAUUAAAAAUUUUCAUCAAUUAUUUUGUUAUAAUUAAUUUUAAAUUAAAUUUAAUUUUAUAUGUAUUUAGGUUUUUAUUAAGGAUUAUUAAUUAAUAAUUAAUUAAUAGUUAUUAUGAUAAAAUUAGUAAAUAAUUAAUUAAUAUAUAGUAAUUCGGCAAAUAUAUUUUUCACCUGUUUAACAAAAACAUGUCUUAAUGAUAAUUUUUAUUAAGUCUGGCCUGCUCAAUGAUUUUUUUAUAGAUUAAAUAGCCGCAGUAUUUUGACUGUGCGAAGGUAGCAUAAUCAUUUGUCUUUUAAUUGAAGGCUUGUAUGAAUGGUUUCAUGAGAAAAUGACUUUCUUUAUAUUAAUAAAUUGAAUUUAAUUUUUUAGUUAAAAAGCUAAAAUUUUUAAGUGGGACGAGAAGACCCUAUAGAAUUUUACUAUUAAUAAAAUAAAUUUUUCUUUAUUGUUAUUAAUGAAUAUUAAUUUAUUAAUAGUUUUGUUGGGGUGACAUUAGGAUUAUUUAAACUCCUAUAUAUUAUAUAUUUAAUGAUUUUUAUAUUUAUGAUCCUAUAUUAAGGAUUACUAGAUUAAAUUACCUUAGGGAUAACAGCGUAAUUUUUUUGGAGAGUUCUUAUCGAUAGAAAAGUUUGCGACCUCGAUGUUGGAUUAAAAUUAGAUUUAAGUGCAGUAGCUUAAUUUCUAGGUCUGUUCGACCUUUAAAAUUUUACAUGAUCUGAGUUCAGACCGGCGUGAGCCAGGUCGGUUUCUAUCUUCUUAACAUGAUUUAUAAAUUAGUACGAAAGGACCAUUUAUUUCAAUUAUAUUGUUAUAAUUUUUGAAUAUUUUUAAA
rnacentral:rRNA from 1 species